AUUGAACGCUGGCGGCAUGCCUAACACAUGCAAGUCGAACGGUAACAGGCCCUUCGGGUGCUGACGAGUGGCGGAUGGGUGAGUAAUACUUAGGAAUCUACCCUGUAGUGGGGGACGAACCCGGGGAAACUACGGGCUAAUACCGCCAUACGCUCUACGGAGGAAAGCGGGGGACCGGCGAAGGCCUCGCGCUAUUGGAUGAGCCUAAGCCCGAUUAGCUAGUUGGUGGGGUAAUAGCCUACCAAGGCAAUGAUCGGUAGCUGGUCUGAGAGGACGACCAGCCACACUGGGACUGAGACACGGCCCAGACUCCUACGGGAGGCAGGCAGUGGGGAUAUUGGACAAUGGGCGAAAGCCUGAUCCAGCGAUGCCGCGUGUGUGAAGAAGG
rnacentral:rRNA from 1 species